rnacentral:rRNA from 1 species
UACGUAGGGUGCAAGCGUUAAUCGGAAUUACUGGGCGUAAAGCGCGCGCAGGCGGUGAUGUAAGACAGGUGUGAAAUCCCCGGGCUUAACCUGGGAACUGCAUUUGUGACUGCAUCGCUGGAGUGCGGCAGAGGGGGAUGGAAUUCCGCGUGUAGCAGUGAAAUGCGUAGAUAUGCGGAGGAACACCGAUGGCGAAGGCAAUCCCCUGGGCGUGCACUGACGCUCAUGCACGAAAGCGUGGGGAGCAAACAGG